GUGCUCGCUUCAGCAGCACAUAUACUAAAAUUGGAACGAUACGGAGAAGAUUAUCAUGGCCCCUGCGCAAGGUAAAAAAAGAAAAAGAAAAAAGAAUGAGAAUGAC